rnacentral:rRNA from 1 species
UACGGAGGGUGCGAGCGUUGUCCGGAAUCAUUGGGCGUAAAGGGCGCGUAGGUGGCCCGGUCAGUUCGUGGUGAAAGCGCGGGGCUCAACCCUGCGUCGGCCAUGAAUACUGCCGCGGCUGGAGCACUGUAGAGGCAGGCGGAAUUCCGGGUGUAGCGGUGGAAUGCGUAGAGAUCCGGAAGAACACCGGUGGCGAAGGCGGCCUGCUGGGACGGAACUGGACGCUAAGGCGCGAAAGCGUGGGGAGCGAACAGG